AUGCUUAUCCUCUUCAUAGCAGGACCAAUGAGCUCUCAGGGCUCAUACAGUAGUCACCUUUACCAUGGUGCGUUGAAACUGAGCACCUGUGACCACAGCAAAGGCUUUUCUGUGCAGGAUUCACUCUGCAGGAUAGUCUCAUCCCUCACUAUAACGCCUAUAACCAGACAUUACAUUAUUUUAGUGAUAGGUGCAUUUCUUCAGGCAUGCAGGGGCACUCAAGUACAAUUUUUAAAUGCUUUUCUUAGAUUUAAAAAUGUAUUUAAUUUGAGUUUUGUGUUUUAUGCAAUAAUAAUGUAUUUCGAGUAUAAGAUAAAUCCAAAUAAGUCAAACAAAAGGAGGUUAUUCUGCUACACAGUGCCCCGCCAACAUCAAAGGAGGUAAAGGAUGGUUUGGUAUCUCUGUGUGCCUGUGCCUUCCAAUGUAUAAAACAGCCCGGCUUUCAGCCCCAAGACACAGGCGGGGAGCUGCCGAGGAAAUUUAAUUUCACGACUACCACAUUGCUACCUGGCAGGUAGGGCUGUGGUUCGUGUAUUUUGUAGCUUUUGCCUGCACCUGGUUAUGAGCUGAUCACACCAAACGCCUCUUUAAACCACAGGAUCAGAUAUGGAAAUCCUUGUGCCAAAGAUCCAGGUUUUUGUGAUUCUCUGCACGGCAGCGGAGGGAAAAGCCUCAAACUGUCACUCAAUUAGACAGUGAGAGAAAAAUAAUAAUAAUUUAGGGAUUUAACUACAGAAGGAAGUAAAACAGGUAAACUGUAGUAGAAGUAGUUACUGCUGAGUGACCCUUUAAUUUAAAAAAAAUGGAUUUUUAACUUUAAGCUGUUUUGAGGGCCAAACUUACAAAACAAAUGGAAUAAUUUAGUUUGAGAUUACAUUUCUAAUGGAAUAUGCAUUUUUGAAGGUCUUAUGUAAAGAUACAUUGCACUGCAUAACGGUCCCUCCAGUCAGACAUGGUUGAGUGAAAUUUUAGAGGGGAAAAAGUGCAAAUUUUCACUCGUUACACAUCAUAAGAGAGCUUAGACGCUCUUAAAUUUAUAACUCAUUAAUUGCAAUGCAGUAUUUCUUCUGAAGGUUGUUUUGCAACUUUAUGUUAUUUGGUUUUGUCACUGAAGUAUGUAAUCUUUACAAGUGACAAUAAAAAAAGAACGCGGUUCAGCCCUCGUUUCAUUCACUCACGCAAAAAGUAUGUGACAUCAUUCAGCUGCUGAAUUAGAUCAAGAUGUAGCUCUAAUGACUCGAAAAUACACUUUAUCAGUUUGAUAUGAACAUGAAAUAAUUCAGUUUAGGAUGUACUUUUUGGUUUUGGGUGAUUUGCAUUGUUUUCUCAUCAAUGUCGUUUGGUCUUGGUUGCUCUUUGGCAGUUUGCUCAAACAUUAAAGUUACUGUGGUUAAUUACUGGAGCAAAGGCCCAGAGAGAGAAACUGUGCACCAACUGAAGAUCCUUGGCACUGAACCUCAAGCCCCGAGCUAGUAACCUUGGUGCGCUUUUUGAUCCUGUCUUGAGUUUCACAUCAUAAAAAUCAACAAAAUUGGCUUUUAUCUUCUCAGGAGUGCGGCCAGAUAUUGAAAGGCAGAUGAAUGCUUUUAUCACCAACAGAGUUGACUACUGUAAUGAUUUUUUUUCUUUUCAGGAAAGCUUUGCAAAAGCUGCAAAGAGCAAAAGCAGAUGUUUCAUGGGUUGCCCCUUAGUUUUACAUUUUAAUGUUCUGUAAUUGGCAAUUCGCUCAGGAGAUGCCAGACUUACCCUACUAUUAAUGCUACUUUUAUCCCCAGUUUUACACUAUCUUUUAAUUAUUUUAUGAUUAAC
ensembl:lncRNA